UCAAAACCUCAUCAUUGAUCUGGAUCCGGUUCGAUAUGUUCCCUUUCUACUACCUCUGAUUGAGUGCCUGAAAUACUCCCCUCUUACCAUUGUUAUGUUUCAAGUUGGGAAUGUUCCACUAUCGAUUCUGUCCAAAGCAUACACAACGGCCAACUAUGUCAAGGAAGAACAACGGAUAUACUUCAACAUCCAUAAUCAUACAACCUCUAUUUCCAAGACCCGUUUUUGCAAUCUGUUAGGGCUUCCUCAGUCUUAAAACAUGGUCAACCCGGAAACCAUCUCCAACGCUGCAAUCUUGGAAAUGUUUUAUCAAAUGGGGUAUAAGGAAGCUCUCGCUGCUGUUUCCAAGUUCAAGAAACCCAAUCUUCCACCUACAUGGAAUGCCCUUUUCACUAUCUUGAUCAAAGCUUUUUCUGGAAGGGUCACUGGCAAUGACUGUGCGAGCAAGCUCUUCAUGAUUAUGAUGUAUGGCCUGUAUACUGGUCAAAAUGUUGACUAUGGUUCUAUCCUCUGCGCUCAACUUAUCCAGAGCACUCACUAUGUUACUUGUCACAGUGAAAUCUCAUGUGCAAGAUUCUGGACCAUAUUCGUUAACAAAGCACUUCAGCAGCUCAAAAUUCCAGUGAUUUCUUAUGCACUGAUGGCUUCCAUUGCAACAUUCUAUACAACAGGUAUCAUUGUGGCUGGCACGUCAAAGUUUUCCUUCAUCGGCUUGAUUCCGGAGAUUAUGUUUCGUCAUGUUCCUCCCUCCAGUGAAAUUAUAGAGGGUUAUCGUGCGCUUACACCUUUAGGACCUCAUCCAUGAACUGACAAAUUUCAAGCAAUUGUCUCUGAGGCAGAUAAAGCCAAGAAAAGGGGGCAGAGGGUAGAAGAAAGCCACCAAGAAAGAUACUGCGAAAGAAGGACCUUCUAAGGCUGCAAAACCUCCUUCUUUAAACAUUUGAUCGUAGUCAACAGGAACCCACACAGACACUUCUUAGUCUCUCUUCACUAUGAAGAAAGAAAUGUUUGCCUGGGAUCACUAGUUUUAUGUCUCUAGCUAGACAUCACAACAUCCCAAAGAUAAACUUCAUUUUAUUUCUUUUUCUUUAACAACCUUGCACGAAUAUCCUAUUGAUAUUCCAAAGGUCUAGUUCGUGGUUACAAAUAAUUUUUAGGUUCACAGUUGUAUGAAUUCAGCAUGCUUUCUCUACUGCGAAAAAAGAUGAGGUGACACGGAAAUUUUGAAAGAUAAAAAUUCAAAUGGGCGCGUGCAAAGUUGAACGGACAGAUAUUGAUACGCCGCGUGAUGCACGCUUCUGACUUAUCACAACUAUCAAAUCGCGCUUUUUCAGGCGACAGUUUAGUAUUCGAGAUAAUCUAUCUCCAGAUUUUCCUCACCAAAUCAUAUCUUAUAUAAGGGUUUUGACGGUUCCAUAUUUCUCUACCACUUUCCAAUUCUCGCAACGAUUUCUGGUGAUUACGAAGCUCUCCACUGCUCUUCUUCUUCUUCAAGCUUCAUCAAUGGUGGUUUCAUCUAAGAAUAUUUCUGUUCAAGACCAAACUGCUCAUUUAUCUCUUCUAGCCGUUAAGAAACAUCAAAACCUCAUCAUUGAUCUGGAUCUGGUUCGAUAUGAUCCCUUUCUACUACCUCUGAUUCAGUGCUUGAAAUACUCCCUUCUUACCAUUGUUAUGUUUCAAGUUGGGAAUGUUCCACUACCGAUUCUGUCCAAAGCAUACACAACGGCCAACUAUGUCAAGGAAGAACAACGGAUAUACUUCAACAUCCAUAAUCAUACAACCUCUAUUUCCAAGACCCGUUUUUGCAAUCUGUUAAGGCUUCCUUAGUCUUAAAACAUGGUCAACGCAGAAACCAUCUCCAACGCUGCAAUCUUGGAAAUGUUUUAUCAAAUAGGGUACAAGGAAGCUCUCUCUGCUGUUUCCAAGUUCAAGAAACCCAAUCUUCCACCUACAUGGAAUGCCCUUUUCAGUAUCUUGUUCAAAGCUUUUUCUAGAAGGGUCACUGGCAAUGACUGUGCCAGCAAGCUCUUCAUGAGUCUGAUGUAUGGCCUGUAUACUGGUAAAAAUGUUGACUAUGGUUCUAUCCUCUGGGCUCAACUUAUGCAGAGCACUCACUCUGUUACUCGUCACAGUGAAAUCUCUUGUGCAAGAUUUUUGACCAUCAUCGUUAACAAAGCACUUCAGCAGCUCAAAAUUCCAGUGAUGUCUGAUGCAAUGAUGGCUUCCAUUGGACAUUCUAUACAACAUGUAUCAUUAUGGGUCACACAUCAAAGUUUUCCUUCAUGGGCUCGAUUCUGGAGAUUAUGUUUCUUGAUGUUCCUCCCUCCAAUAAAAUUCUAGAGGUUUAUCGUGCUCUUACUCCUUCAGGACCUCGUCCAUGAACUAUAAAAUUUCAAGAAAUUUUGGCUGAGGCAGAUAAAGCCAAGAAAGGGGGCAGAGGGUCAAAGAAAGCCACCAAGAAAGAUACUGCGAAAGAAGGACCUUCUGAGGCUGCGAAACCUCCCUCAUCAAACAUUUGAGUAUAGUCAAUAGGAACCCACACAUACACUUCUUAGUCUCUCUUGACUAUGAAGAAAGAGAUGUUUGCAUGGGAUCAAUUGUUUUAUGUCUCUAGUUAGAAAUCACAACAUCCCACAGAUAAACUUCGUUUUAUUUCUUUUUAUUUGACAAUCUUGCACGGAUAUCCUAGUGAUUUUCCAAAGGUCUAGUUCGUGGUUACAAAUAAUUUUCAGGUUCACAGUGGUAUAAAUUCAACGUGCUUUCUCAACUGCGAAAGAAGAUGAGCUGACGUGAAAAUUCUAAAAGAUAAAAAUUCAAAUGGGUGCGUGCAAAGUUGAACAGACAGAUAUGGAUACGGCGUGUGACGUAUGCUUCUUACUUAUCACAGCUAUCCAAUCGUGCUUUUUCAGGCAACGGUUUAGUAUUCGAGAUAAUCUCUCUCCGGAUUUUCCUCACCAAAUCAAAUCUUAUAUAAGGGUUAUGACGGUUCCAUAUUUCUCUACCACUUUCCAAUUCUCUCAACGAUUUCUGGUGAUUACAAAGCUCUCCACUGUUCAUCUUCUUCUUCAAGCUUCAUCAAUGGUAGCUUCAUUUGAGAAUAUUUCUGUUCAAGACCAAACUGCUCACUCAUCUCUUCUGGCCGUUAAGAAACAUAAAAACCUCAUCAUUGAUUUGGAUCCGGUUCGAUAUGAUCCCUUUCUACUACCUCUGAUUGAUUGCCUGAAAUACUCCCCUCUUACCAUUGUUAUGUUUCAAGUUGGGAAUGUUCCACUAUCGAUUCUGUCCAAAGCAUACACAACGGCCAACUAUGUCAAGGAAGAACAAUGGAUAUACUUCAACAUCCAUAAUCAUACAACCUCUAUUUCCAAGACCCGUUUCUGCAAUCUGUUAGGGCUUCCUCAGUCUUAAAACAUGGUCAACCCGGAAACCAUCUCCAACGCUGCUAUCUUGGAAAUAGUUUUAUCA
rnacentral:lncRNA from 1 species